rnacentral:lncRNA from 1 species
GUGUCGUUUUUCAUCAUUUUUCAGCCUAAAAAUGGAAAUAUGUCGAGUUCAGAAGAGGAUAAGGAAUAAAUUAUUCUACAGUUAGUAAGUGACAGGGUUGGAUACGGAACAGAAAAAUGAACGGCGUUCACGCUUUCCGUACAUUUUUGAACGAAUGAAUGAAAAAUGGGGAAAAAAUUAACGAUGAACGAAAAAAAUGACGUUCAUUUGGUCGUUCACUUUUUAUUGUUUCUGAGGGGUCGUUAUUACUAUGCUGUUAGGACCAAGGAGGGCGUAAUAAAUAACGUUUCAAAAUUCUAUAUAGUGUAAGAAAAUAUUUUUUUGGUUCCUCUACUUCCGAUCUACCUCUGAAGUCUGAACAUAAGAUUACUCUAUUUAAGGUUACCAUAAAUCAGCUCUGGAUGUAACCAAUCAGUUCCAGAAUUCUACUAAAAAAUAAUUAUUUGCUAUAGUUUCCAAUUUAUAAUACUAAUGAUUUAAAAAUUAUAUAAUAAGUUGUUUCUAAUUAUAAGCAUAAUGCAAAUCAACAAAGGACCCUAUUUCCAAAAUUCCUUAAUUUGAAGAGAACCUUUAAUCGAUGGUUGGCUGAUUUAAUCCAAGCUUUUACUAAUAGUAAAAAUAGAUCAAAGGGAUUAUUAAUAAAAUGAGUUUUAUCAACUUUAUUCUUAAAUUGAUAAUGAUAUAGCAUCAGUGGUAACUCAUUACGGGCGAUUAUUUUUUCUAUAAAAACAAUUAUGGAGCCCGAAUCAGUUAAAUAGUUGAGGUUACACCAAAGUUUCCCCUUAGUAAUUAUAAUUAAAGAUGUGCCCUCUUAUCUGGGAGAUUGAUACUAUUUCAGGAAACAUACCAUAUAAGUUGAGAAUAUUAAGUAUUACUCAUUAUGAACCAGGCCCUCAACCAACAGAGGCCCAGAGCGCAACUAAUUAUAUUUUUAGGGAAAGCCUAUUACAUGGGUUAUAUCUUUAAUUUUAACACUAUCUAUAUUAACAUCAAGCAAAGUUUGUCCGUCUCCUUGUUUUUGAAGGACUCAUUUUUAGCUAAAGCUCAGAACUUCAUAUUUAAAAAAAAGUUAAGUACCUUUGAGGCACCUCAACAUAAAAAUAA